GGCCAAUCUACCAAGGGCGCAUGGGGGAUGCCUUGGCAUUAAGAGAAAGGGCGUGGAAAUCUGCGAAAUGCUUGGGGGAAUUGAUAAACAAGUCGUGAUCCCAAGAUUCCCGGUAAAACCUGGUGAACUGAAACAUCUAAGUAACCAGUGGAAGAGAAAGAAAAAUCGAUUCCGUCAGUAGCGGCGAGCGAAAUCGGAAGAGCCCAAACCGAGAGGGUUUCCCUCUCGGGGUUGUAGGACUCCAAUAUCGGAUUGUGUGUUGUUAGUGGAACGACUUGGAACGGUCGGCCACAGAGGGUGACAGUCCCGUACACGAAAGCAUACACACACCGUAGGAGCACCUGAGUAGGUCCAGUCACGUGAAACCUGGAUUGAACCCGCGGGGACCAUCCCGCAAGGCUAAAUACUCCUUAAUGACCGAUAGCUAACCAGUAGCGUGAGUGAAUGGUGAGAAGAACCCCGUUUAGGGGAGGACAGUGAACCUGAAACCAUGCGCCUACAAGCGGUCGGAGCCCGAUUUGAACGGGUGACGGCGUGCCUUUUGCAUAAUGAUCCGGCGAGUUGUGGUAUGCGGCUUGGUUAAGCUCCUCCGGAGCGAAGCCCAAGGGAAACCGAGUCUGAAUAGGGCGAAAUUGUCGUAUGCUGCAGACGCGAAAGCUGUGUGAUCUACCCAUGGGCAGGUUGAAGCGCGGGUUAAACUGCGUGGAGGACCGAACCCACUUAGGUUGAAAACUGAGGGGAUGACCUGUGGGGAGGACUGAAAGUGUAAUCAAACCAGCAGAUAGCUCGUUCUCUCCGAAAUAUCUUGAGGGAUAGCGUCGAGCCACUAUUUACCGGGGGUAGAGAGACUGAAUCGGAUGGGGGCCCUUCCCGGGGUACCCCACCGAACCAAACUCCGAAUACCGGUAAAACUAUCUCGGCAGUCAGUCCCUGGGGGAUAAGCUCCAGGGUCGAGAGGGAAACAACCCAGAUCGCCUGCUAAGGUCCCUAAGGAAUACUCAGUCACUAAGGAAGUUGAAGUGCCGUGACAGCUGGGAUGUUGGCUUAGAAGCAGCCACCAUUUAAAAAGUGCGUAACAGCUUACCAGUCGAGCAUUUCUGCGCCGAUAAUGAACGGGAGUAAGUAUUCCACCGAAGCAGCGGAUUGAAGAUUUAUCUUCAGUGGUAGGAGAGCGUCGAAGACCAGAUACAAGCCAUACGGAAACGAGUGGUGUCGGGGUCUUCGAGUGAUUAUGCCGGAAUGAGUAACGAUAAAACAGGUGAGAAUCCUGUUCGCCGAAAGCCUAAGGUUUCCUGGGGAAGGUAAUUCCGCCCAGGGUUAGCCGGUACCUUAGUCGAGGC
rnacentral:rRNA from 1 species